rnacentral:misc_RNA from 1 species
AAUCCUCAAAAUCCUCUUCUUUGAUCGGAACAGGACUUUUGGACUUGGAGGUUCAAUGCUCGCUUUCACCUUUGAAAGCGAGCUCCUCUCAAAUGAAUUAGUGGGGUCCGCUUUGCUGGUCCUUGACGUGAUAAGAUGUUUCUACGUUUUGGAUUUGGCACUGUUUUCUCCGCUCCUAACCGUCUCGUGGACAACGAUGGUGCUUCGGUCGCCGCCGUCUAUGGCGGGAGGCUGGACCCACAAAAAA